GGCUGGAUCACCUCCUAACAGGGAGACAAUACCUGAUCGUGAUGUCUGAGUAUUUUUAUUCUUAGACCAUGAUCCUGUCAUCUCGAAGGUCGAUCGGUACCUCAACUUGAGGGUAAGAGAAAAGCUGAGCAAUCAGUUUAGAGACUUGCCAUUCAAUUUCAGUUCCUAAACUUUGUCUAGGUCACCCCACAGGGGCGUCAGGUUAGCUUGAAGUAGUUUGCUUUGGGUUAAGUUUUGACGUUACUGAGCGGUAGCAACUCCUGGGCCAUUAGCUCAGGUGGUUAGAGCGCACCCCUGAUAAGGGUGAGGUCCCUGGUUCAAGUCCAGGAUGGCCCAUUCACCGCCUGCUGAGCAGGCAGGACUACAUGGCUGGGGGUUUAGCUCAGUUGGUAGAGCGCCUGCUUUGCAAGCAGGAUGUCAGCGGUUCGAGUCCGCUAACCUCCAUCCAAUGUUGAGGCUCUGCUCUCAGUCCAUGCCUCGGACUAUGUAUGCUUUUAAAGGAUGCUAGGAAAGAGUUUGGAGUUUUACUGUUGUGUUGAUCUAGAUGGUUGUUUGCUGAAGAUUUCAGCUUCUUUUCAUUCUUGUCUAGUCAAGAUCUAAUCAAAAUCUGAUCAAGAUCUAAUCAAGACUGGUUGAAAGGACGCUGAAUUCAAACUGCCCUGGCAACAGGGCAGUUUGAAUGUCAGCAGAACCUUGACAACUGCAUAGUUGAAGUCUGGAAAUAAAGCAUCUCAUGGUUGCUUGAUUCAGGUCUUAAGUCAAAUCCAGUAAUGGAUUUGAUUUGGGAUGUGAGUCAAGAAAAUUCUAUUGAGUUUUUAGAGCCGAGAGCUUCCAGUUUUCUUGUUUGUCCGCCGAGGACAAGCGAGUUUGAUCCUGGCAUUCAAACCGCAAUGGAGAGUCUGAGCAAUCAGGUUCAAAGGUUGUA
rnacentral:tRNA from 1 species